rnacentral:rRNA from 1 species
UACGUAGGGGGCGAGCGUUGUCCGGAUUUAUUGGGCGUAAAGAGCUCGUAGGCGGUUUGGUGAGUCGGGUGUGAAAUCUCCACGCUCAACGUGGAGGGGCCACCCGAUACUGCCAUGACUAGAGUCCGGUAGGGGAGUGUGGAAUUCCCGGUGUAGCGGUGAAAUGCGCAGAUAUCGGGAGGAACACCAGUGGCGAAGGCGGGUCUCUGGGCAACAACUGACGCUGAGGAGCGAAAGCGUGGGGAGCGAACAGG